rnacentral:sRNA from 1 species
GUGACCGGGAUGGCGCAUUUUCUUGCACCAAGUAAUGCGGUGUCGCUGGCGGCUGAGGAGGGCGGAGAGUUCUGUGGUGAAGUAGUGGGAGGGAUUCAUGUAGGCAUCGGGAAGAGCCUAAGUCCACAUUAUAAAAUAGGAAGUUGAUGCGGGGUACAGCUACUCCCGGACCGGCGGCGUGAAAGUCGUGAUAUCAUCGUUGAACUCAAUGGGGUAUCUUCCAAGGAUCUCAAUCAGAAGGGAGAGAUGACUCCGAUUGGAAUGUCAUCCCUGGCUGAAGAGUAGAAGAAGCGAAAAAAAGAAUAGUUAAAGAGGCAAAUGCAGGGAGCCCGACGAGGAGGCUAUUGCCGUAGUAGUUCACAUGGUGAAAAGAAUGGAGCGUUUGUAUUAAUAAUUAUGGAUUCACUCUGAACAAAUUUCUGGCAGCUUUUUAGUUUGAAAGUGAGAAGUUUCAGUCUCUCACUGA